UACGGAGGGUGCAAGCGUUAUCCGGAUUCACUGGGUUUAAAGGGUGCGUAGGUGGGCUUGUAAGUCAGUGGUGAAAUCUCCGUGCUUAACAUGGAAACUGCCAUUGAUACUAUAGGUCUUGAAUCUUCUGGAGGUCAGCGGAAUAUGUCAUGUAGCGGUGAAAUGCUUAGAUAUGACAUAGAACACCGAUUGCGAAGGCAGCUGACUACAGGGGCAUUGACACUGAGGCACGAAAGCGUGGGGAUCAAACAGG
rnacentral:rRNA from 1 species